rnacentral:rRNA from 1 species
GGAGGGGGCAAGCGUUAUUCGGAUUUACUGGGCGUAAAGCGCACGUAGGCGGCAUGGCAAGUCAAAGGUGAAAGCCCUCGGCUCAACCGAGGAAUUGCCUUUGAAACUGCUUUGCUUGAGUCCGGGAGGGGGGAGCGGAAUUCCCAGUGUAGCGGUGAAAUGCGUAGAUACUGGGAGGAACACCGGUGGCGAAGGCGGCUCCCUGGACCGGUACUGACGCUGAGGUGCGAAAGCGUGGGUAGCAAACAGGAUUAGAUACCCUGGUAGUCCACGCCGUAAACGAUGGGCACUGGGUGCAGCGGGUGUCGACCCCCCUGCUGUGCCCGAAGUUAACGCAUUAAGUGCCCCCGCCUGGGGAGUACGGUCGCAAGGCUG